rnacentral:rRNA from 1 species
GACGAACCGUGCGAACGUUGUUCGGAAUCACUGGGCUUAAAGGGCGCGUAGGCGGGCUGUCAAGUCUGGGGUGAAAUCCCACGGCUCAACCGUGGAACUGCCUCAGAUACUGACGGCCUCGAGGGAGAUAGGGGCGAGCGGAACUGUGAGUGGAGCGGUGAAAUGCGUUGAUAUUCACAGGAACUCCGGUGGCGAAGGCGGCUCGCUGGAUCUCUUCUGACGCUGAGGCGCGAAAGCCAGGGGAGCAAACGGG